rfam:Gossypium hirsutum cultivar TM-1 chromosome 6, whole genome shotgun sequence
UGUAAAAUUUUCAUUUAUUUCUACUGUUAAAAAUUGACGUGACUGGCAAAAUAAUCAAACAGUUACACGUGGCAUGCUAGCAUAUAAGGACCAAUUUUUAAAAAUAAAAAAUGGGUGAAACUUUUAACA